UACGGAAGGGGCAAGCGUUGUUCGGAAUCAUUGGGCGUAAAGGGCGCGUAGGUGGUCUUGUAUGUCUACCGUGAAAGCGUACGGCUCAACUGUAUUUUGUCGGUAGAAACUGCAGGACUUGAGGCUGGGAGGGGCUGGUGGAAUUCCCUGUGUAGCGGUGAAAUGCGUAGAGAUGGGGGAGAACACUCGUGGCGAAGGCGGCCAGCUAGACCAGUUCUGACACUGAGGCGCGACAGCGUGGGGAGCAAACAGG
rnacentral:rRNA from 1 species